CUCCUGUUUAAUUUGUCGAACUAAAAUAACGGUACAAUAUGAUCAACUUAGUUAUGGUGACCAACAAUCUUACAAAAUUAGAACAAAAUCCAUUAAGCAGUUUCUGAAGAGUUGCAUCCACAUAGUCGAAUGAAAUGGACGGACACCGGUAUUUCUCUGUCCCCUUCCACGUUGCGUUAAAGAAACCACAAGGUAUUUACAACUUUACAUCCGGCGACACUAGCAUCUCAUCGAAAAGAAACAAGUUUUUUUUAUCUCAUAAAGCAACAACACAUUUUUUUUUGUUAAAUACUUCUUUUAUUUAAAAAAUCAACCAUGUUUUAUUGACACACUGAUGUUCAAGUACCGAUUGUCAACAGUGUCUAUAUUCAUCAAGAUCUUUUAGGCUGAUCCAAACACAUUCUCUGUUGACUUACAUUGCCAAAAAUUGGAAAUGAAAUGAACACGUUUGAGUUAAUAAAUCAAUCAGAAAAAAUUCUGGUUUACAUUAAUUGAUCCAUAACUAUAAGCAUUGUUUGAAGCAUUUUUCUAUCUGCUCUCCGAAACGAUUCCAAGCGAUGCUUGUUUUUUGUUUUAAAUGUAAGUGAUUAAGAGGUGUUUUUUUUUUUACUUUGGGGUGGUGGGGGUUUAAAUCUAAGAGGUAAAAGUGGGGUUCUUUUGGGGAGGGCAAUUUAAACGUCUCCUCCAUCCAUAUGUUUCAUUAAUGCAACAGAGAAUUUAUGUAGGACAGUCUAAUACUAACUUACUCCCGACAUCUUCUCAAAAUUCAACUCUAGAUUCUUAACUUUUAAAUAAAUAAGAAAUACUUGUUGGUAUUAACAAUGACUUUGGCAUAAAUAUUCCAAUGAACGCUAACAAGCUAGCGCUAGAUCUACAAAUUUUGGCAGCCUUAAAUAACAUGAACACACAAAUCAAGAACUUUGCUUUCAUCUUCAAAUUAGCACUGUUAAAUAUAUAUAAAAAUAAGAAAAUCUUCAAAAAUAAUUUCAAUAACAGGGUUCAUUAGUUUAGAGAUUUUUUUUUCCAAAACAUCUUUGACUGUAUCCAGUGACAACAUAGGCUCGUUUUCAAAAUCUUUGUCCAUUUUCUUUGCAACAUUUGUCGCCAUUUCUACGAAAAUGGAGGAAGUUGAUAACAGGAUACCAUUUUCUAUAAUCAUAAAAUUCGUCAAACACAUCUCAACCAAGACAAAGUUUGUGUCUUCUGACAACAUAGGUCCCAGUUUUAAAUGCAACCUUGUUUUGAAGACGCAGUUUGUAAUUGCACAACACCAGGAAUACAUUUUUAAAUCGUUGUAGAGAUCAUUGAUUAACAUCAAAGUUGUAGUUAUUGGUAUCUUGUGUAAUAAUUCAAAACCAAAAAUCUCAAAUCAAAAACAGCUCAUAAAGCCAAAAUACUACAGAUGCAUUACUAAAAGUGAGUGAUGAAAAAAUAUUCAGAACAAAUUACAUAAUUUUAAAAAAAAUAAUCAAUAAAUAUAACCAUUAUUGCUUGAGAUUGUUCUUCAUUUGAAUCUGUUGGUAUAUACUAUGUCAAUAUGGUGAUGCAUUGAAAUAAAUAAUUAAUGUUUCUUUGUACAAGUUUAAAUAGCAACACAUACUUUAAUAAAACUAAUCAUUGAUAUUAAAAUGCCGUUGUAAUUGCAAAUAUCAUUAUAUUGCAUGAUUUAUCUUCAUAUAAAAUCACCCAGAUGUUCUUUUAAUGUUUUCUGAUUUUACAAAGAAAUGCUGGUGAGAAAUGCUUUAGAUACAUGUAUUUUUAAAUCAAUUCUCUAACAAAAAACAUUUUCUAGACACAGAAACAGCAGAGGUAAGAGAAACAGAAAAAUGUCCUGCAUUUACACGGAUAAAUGUUCAGGUACCACAUUUGCCCAAAAAUGCUCCUACUACUUAAAAAAAAAAUGGUGUAAAAGGACAUUCAUUAGAAAUUGAAGAACAGACUAGUGAGGGAGAAAUACUACAUACCUUAUUUUAAAAUUUGACGGAAUCUGACCUUGUGCACUUUUUAGCGUUAUCAUGAUCUGGCGCUUCUCUAUAUGAUAAUGAAUAAAUACAGGUUUUCAUAUUUUAAUGCAACCACAACUUAGCUUUCGUGAUGCGUCGUGAAAUAUGAAUCCCGCUGAAAGAAGUGCAUGCAAGUUUUUCAUUCCGACAAUGAAAGUAAUGGCUAGGUGGUUCAUAUCAGUAUAUAACAUAAUUUGGACCAUUUUGGUGUAUAUCUUUAAUUAAAAUUCCAGGCAGUAUCUCAAUUCACUAUAAUCGACUGCAUGGUAUGACACGCUCAUUAUCAUUCAAAUUCAAAUAAACCUUGUUAUCUUUAAACUUGAUGGGUCACAGAGAAAAAAAACCCAUCAAGAUAUUCGAGAUACUGAGGUUAAAAUCCAUAAAAAAAAAAUGUAGUUGGGACUUCUAAAUCACUUCAACAUAUCCAUGGUAUUCGAGAUAUUGAUGUUUGAGAGACUGAAGUUCAACUGUAUUAAUGUGAUAGAGGUCUUUACUUUCUAGAAUCUAAAAUGCAUGAAAGAUGGAGCACUUCAUAGGGCAGCAAAGUCAGACAAAGUUUUCUUAUAAUGCACAAAAGAUUGCAUCAACAUUUCAAAUAGCUUUGUCAUAUUUGUAUAUCACAGAUCAAGAAAUACAGCACUAAAUCACACCAUUUACUUUCACUUCAGAUGACCUUUUAUGUACAAUAAGAAUGUUCCACACAUCUCCCAUACUAUGCUGUAAAUGAUAUCUACAGUGUAAACUUGCAUAAACAAUUCAUUUUUCAAAAACAAAGUCUUGCUCUCCCAAACAAAAAACAAA